GAGAAUCUAGUAAUCAUUUUUUUUACAUUAAUCUUUCUAAUAGUCAUUAUCCGCAACACAUAUACCUAAACAACGUAUACCAUUCGAAGCAGUC
rnacentral:antisense_RNA from 1 species